AAGAAUGUCCUAAGAUAACAUUUCCCAUCAAAGUUUCGAUUUGAUCACAUCCAUAUUUUAUAUACGUGUUUAUGAGAAUAUAUUUAUUUAUCUGACAUUCAU